UACCAGCACCCCGAGUGGUCGGGACGAUUAUUGGGCCUAAAGCAUCCGUAGCCGGUCCUACAAGUCUUCCGUUAAAUCCACCUGCUUAACAGAUGGGCUGCGGAAGAUACUAUGGAGCUAGGAGGCGGGAGAGGCAAGCGGUACUCGAUGGGUAGGGGUAAAAAUCCGUUGAUCCAUUGAAGACCACCAGUGGCGAAGGCGGCUUGCCAGAACGCGCUCGACGGUGAGGGAUGAAAGCUGGGGGGAGCAAACCGG
rnacentral:rRNA from 1 species